GGGGGGGUUUGGGGAUUCUGGAAGGGAUUUUGGGGAAUCUGGAAGGGAUUUUGGGGAAUCUGGAAGGGAUUUUGGGGAUUCUGGAAGGGAUUUUGGGGAAUCUGGAAGGGAUUUUGGGGAUUCUGGAAGGGAUUUUGGGGAUUCUAGAAGGGAUUUGGGGACCCCCAGGGGGAUAUUGGGGAUUCUGGAAGGGAUUUUGGGGAAUCUGGAAGGGAUUUUGGGGAUUCCGGAAGGGAUUUUGGGGAAUCUGGAAGGGAUUUUGGGGAUUCUGGAAGGGAUUUUGGGGAUUCUGGAAGGGAUUUUGGGGAAUCUGGAAGGGAUUUUGGGGAUUCCGGAAGGGAUUUUGGGGAAUCUGGAAGGGAUUUUGGGGACCCCCAGGGGGAUUUUGGGGAUUCUGGAAGGGAUUUUGGGGACCCCCAGGGGGAUUUUGGGGACAUCUGAAGGGGUUUGGGGAUUCUGGAAGGGAUUUGGGGACCCCCAGGGGGAUUUUGGGGAUUCUGGAAGGGAUUUUGGGGAUUCUGGAAGAGAUUUGGGGACCCCCAGGGGGAUUUUGGGGAUUCUGGAAGGGAUUUUGGGGAUUCCCGAAGGGAUUUUGGGGAUUCUGGAAGGGAUUUGGGGACCCCCAGGGGGAUUUUGGGGACAUCUGAAGGGGUUUGGGGAUUCUGGAAGAGAUUUGGGGACCCCCAGGGAGAUUUUGGGGAUUCCGGAAGGGAUUUUGGGGAUUCCAGAAGGGAUUUUGGGGACAUCUGAAGGAGUUUUGGGACCCCUGAAGGGAUUUUGGGACCCCCAGGUGGAUUUUGGGGAUCCCUGAACGGUUUUGGGGACCCCCAGGGGGAUUUCGGAAGGGAUUUUGGGGACCCCUGAAGGGAUUUUGGGACCGCCGGGUGAUUCCGGGGGGUCCCGAGCGGAUUCUGGGGGGUCCCGGGCGGAUUUUGGGGGUCCCGGGCGGGUUUUGGGGGGUCCCGGGCGGAUUCUGGGGGGUCCCGGGCGGAUUUUGGGGGUCCCGGGCGGAUUNNNNNNNNNNNNNNNNNNNNNNNNNNNNNNNNNNNNNNNNNN
rnacentral:lncRNA from 1 species